AUCCAUCCAAGCACAUUCCAUACAAUAUCAUCACCAAGAACUCAUUUUUAUUACACUAUGCAUAUAAAGUCGCUCUCUCUAUUCACCAAAUAUAUGACAUACAACAUACCAUCACAAGGACAAAAGGGAAAAGAGAGAAACAAGCAUUCCCUGACAACAACCCAUAUUCGCCUAGAACCUUUGAUUAAUCAACAUGAUAGAAUAUAAUGAUGACUAAGACUAAUCUUCAGCUUCAUAAAAAUAAUUGGCUAAUUUACUUGCAAUAACACUACCUCCCUUGUGCAUUCCUCGGCACAACACUACACUAUAUGCCUAUCAAGAGUAUUCAUCCCAUAAUCCUGUAAUAACUCAUCUAAUAUUAUAUCAAAUCAUACAUCUACCUAUCAAACACACAUAUAACCAUAUUACGACAUAUAAGGAGUCAUUUCAUCAAAAAUUCAUAUCGAAGCUAAUCCUAACAACACUCCGAAACAUAAACGACAUACCACUUAAUUUAAUCUUUUUUUCUACGAAUCUCUGAUCUACACCCAGACACACAGUAAUAUUCAUCCCAUAAUCCUGUAAUAACUCAUCUAAUAUUAUAUCAAAUCAUACAUCUACCUAUCAAACACGCAUAUAACCAUAUUACGACAUAUAAGGAGUCAUUUCAUCAAAAAUUCAUAUCGAAGCUAAUCCUAACAACACUCCGAAACAUAAACGACAUACCACUUAAUUUAAUCUUUUUUUCUACGAAUCUCUGAUCUACACCCAGACACACAGUAACAACUUCAAGCUAUAGGUACCGAGUGGGGAAUUAAUGGAGAAGGAACAACGAGUCUCACCAUGAUUAAACCAAACUGCGGAUGCGAUGAUAAAUUCUGAUUCAAACAUUUCGUCAAGCACAAGGUGUGUGAUGCACUAGAGUUCCUUUCUUCUCCACCUCCCAACUCGCACAAAAACAUACGUAUAAACAACAGUAAGGAUUUGAUGCCGGUAGGGAAAUGAGUAGGACAAGAACGACAUGGCCUCACCAGAACAGCAAUAAGGCGACGACGCAAGAUGAGAGUGCCGCGACGGCCCAAGACACGACAAGUCAGGGGAUGGGGCGAGCUGCAGGAGGAAGGGAGUGAUCUGCAGGCACGACCGAAGUUGAAACUGAGCAGAGGAUGGGCGAGCUCGGAC
rnacentral:lncRNA from 1 species